AAUAAGAUGCCUGAUAAAAGGGUUAUUUUGAUAGAAUAAAUUAUGCAAUUUUUGUUCUUAUUA
rnacentral:tRNA from 2 species